rnacentral:rRNA from 1 species
GGCGACGGUUGUCCCGGUUUAAGCGUGUAGGCUGGUUUUCCAGGCAAAUCCGGAAAAUCAAGGCUGAGGCGUGAUGACGAGGCACUACGGUGCUGAAGCAACAAAUGCCCUGCUUCCAGGAAAAGCCUCUAAGCAUCAGGUAACAUCAAAUCGUACCCCAAACCGACACAGGUGGUCAGGUAGAGAAUACCAAGGCGCUUGAGAGAACUCGGGUGAAGGAACUAGGCAAAAUGGUGCCGUAACUUCGGGAGAAGGCACGC